rnacentral:lncRNA from 1 species
UUCAGACAGAGUCUUGCUCUAUUGCCCAGGCUGCAACUGGUGUGAUCUCGGCUCACUACAACCUCUGCCUCCUGGGUUCAAGCGAUUCUCCUGCCUCAAGCUCCCAAGUAGCUGGGAUUACAAGCAUGCACCACCAUGCCUGGCUAAUUUUUGUAUUUUUAGUGGAGACGGGGUUUCGCCACAUUGGCCAGGGUGGUCUUGAACUCCUGACCUCAAGUGAUCCACCUGCCUUGGCCUCCCAAAGUGCUGGGAUUAUAAGCAUGAGCCACUGCACCCAGCCUUAUACUGAACUUUCAAUGGGUUCAAUUCCACUAGGAGCAUAAAGGCCACUGCAUAUGAGUUGUGGAAAGAAGAGAUUAGAAGAAGGAAGAACUUGAGAUGAGUUCCUCCCUUCAACAUUCUGUCUCCUCCUACCUAGCAUCUUCUUUCUUUUAGUCUUUCUAGAAUGUCCAUCUGUUUUUGGCCAUUGCGGAGAGAGAAGCUGAGCUUUAAAGGAGUAGGAGCUUCAAAGGCGUAGGAGCUUCAAAAUUCUUGUUUCUUCAUGUUUGAUCACCCUUCUAAACCUGUCUUCUGUUCCUUCUGCUAUUCUUUUUUCUUAGAGCAUAGGAAAGGGGAGCUUUUAAAUUAAUACUUAAAGCAUGGAAAAAAAGAACUUGAGAAGAAAGUAAAACAAGGGAGAUGAGGCUAGUAAAGUAAGGAAAAUGAAGAGGAAGAGGAGGAAGGGUUAGCUUCUAAAUUCCAAGUCAAAUUGAUAUGGAACAGGCAAGCCGCUUGUCUUACUUAAACUUCAGAAAAGGAUCUGCUGAAACUUGAUAGAAAUGGAAAGGGAAAUCCUUGGGGUGGGGAACCUCCAAACAUUAGUAAUGAUAUUGAACAACUCAAAGUAUUGAGGAAAUCUGCAGGCUACAUGCCUGAAGAUUACCCAUGCAGAUAGACCAAAAGGAUUAGAAUUAUCUGUUGAUAUUAGUAAUAUUUAUUGACAUCUAGCUAGUAUUGGUAAUUUUAAGUUUUAGAUUAAUUUCUUUGGUAAUAGCUAUGAUAUAUUUUAUAGACAAGAAUUAUAUCUAUAGGCUUGCUAUCAUAGGCUCUUUUAAUCAGCAUUAAUUUAGUCUACUGAUUUUUAGCACAUUUGAAUCAUUCACUUAUGCUAGGUAACUCAUUGCAAAAUAAAAAGAUGAUUCCUGUAUGUAUGGCAGCUAUACAUUAAGGAGGAGUCUACCAGAAUAUGAAAAAGUCAGCUGACCUAAAUAUUGCUGAGACAAAGGAAAACCCACUCCCUUGGAGGAGCAUGACCUUUUCCUGUAAUUCUUCCCACUGCUGUUGUUGAGCUCCUUGGAUCCUGGCUCCUGGACACCAUCAUCAAGAAGACUUUAUGGAUGGGCUGUCCACCCACUGAGAGAAGAGGAGCAUCAGCUACAGUUUCUCUCUAGAUUGCCUUCUUCAUUUUGAGUAAUGACUGUCAGCAGGGUCAGAUUAAACACAAAACAACUGGACAAUUGCUUGGAGGACUAAACUAUAAGGGCACUAACAUGUCAAUAGUAGGCUAACACAUCCAUGGAAAAUAUAUUUACCAGCUCUUCUCUCAGGGAGGAUUCUGUGUGGGGUUGGAAGUAAUGAUUUGUUAAAUUCCUUAGGGGUAGAAAGUAGGGCAUAAUCAGAAUAUAGAGGAAUAUGCUGUUUGACUUCAGGGUUUCUGUUUUUCUUACUAGGAUAUAUAAAACAGGGACUCUAGCUAGAUUGUUUAUGACCACAGAGGGUAGGCUGAGUGCUCCCAUGAUCUUCCUGCUUGGUUCUUGCCCAUACAGAGGUCAGCCUUUCCUCUAAUAAAGAUUGAACAAGUAGUGGUCUGAGGGAGACACCAAUUCAUUACCCUACAUGUCUCUUCUCUGCACUCCAGGGCUUUGAUAAUAAAGACACUGGCAGACUAUCUAUCUUCCAUUUCUAUAAUGUGAGCCCUUAGGGAGUCUUCGUUCACUUGGGGGUGAGGGUCAUUGCUCACAGAGUAGUUCAAGUCAAAUGGAACUUGAACUCUUUGCCUAUGGGCCUGGUGGUCAGACUCUGUGUUGAGUUCAUUAGAUUAUUGGAGACACAAGGUAGAGCUGGAUGCUUCAAAAAUAUUUGGCUAAAGGAUGACAUUGCUGGUUAUUUGUAGAUAAAGCCAUGAUGGAACCUGCUUGGAAUCAUGAAAUAUGGAACUGGUGGUCAUGUUUAAAAAUACAACUAAUAGUUAAGUACCUACUGGACACUGUAGAGACUUAGGGGCUAGACAGACAUGGUUCCUGCCCCCUUGGAGCUUACACUGUAGCUUCCCCUUAGGUAUGAAGAACAGUGGCUACAACUAACAAAUGGCCACAAAGAUAUAAUUGAGCCAGUGUUCCAAUUAUUAGGGUAAUUCCUAUUUCCUUAAUCAUUCCUAUUGACCAUGUUCUAUAAGCCUGCAUUCUAUAAAUGGCGUAUGACCAUGGGCUGUUUCCCCCCAGCAAGUUGUACAAAGUUCUGUGGUACCAGGGAAAGGGCUUAAGGUUAGCAGGGCCUCUGCGGAAGGACAUAUGAAGUGACUUGGGUUAGGAAACAGGAAGGGAUAGGAUUCAAGAACAGCUAUUGCUUCUGUUCUAUAUAGGAAACUGCAGCGUGAAAAAUGCUGGGCUGGGAAUUUUGAGACCUGGGUUUUAGUUUGUGUUCUAAUACUAACAAGCUAUGUGACUGUGGGUAAGUCAUUUCACAUUCCAUUUGGAUGCCUCUUGAGUGACUCCAGGCCUCUCCAGCUCUAAAACAUUAAGAUCAGGCCCUACGCUACAGCUGGCCAGUGUGUAAUUCUUCUGUUUCUAUGCUGUUAGGUCAAAUAGAUCUUCAAUAGUUACUUGAUUGUUAUUACUUUUUUCUGAAGUGGGUGUUUUAUCAAUGUUUUAGGAUACAGUGAGUCUGCUUCUCCCCUUUGGAGUUAGGAAGGUUGUAGGAAUAUACACUGUAGAGCAUAUGGGAGCUUUAUCCCCUCCUUUUUUCCCCGCUACCUUUCUCCCUCUCCUUCCCUUCAUCACAUUUCUAUUGAGCAUAUGCCAUUGCCGUGUACCAGGUGUGUGCUAGGUUUGGAGAUACAAGGUAAACCUGAGACUUUCCCAGUCUCCAGGAGACAAAACCCUAAUUUCUUUCAUCUGCUGUCUUUCUCUUUGGAAAGAAUCAACGAUAUCCCAGGGGAAUGUGCCCAUGUCCCAGGGUAACCAACUACAGACAGAUGCCCCAUUCUACUCAAGCAACUUUUAGAGUGCCUUGAGAUACACAUCAGAUAAUUAUGCAGGGCCAGGCAUGGUGCUGCACACUUGUAAUCACAGCACUUUGGGAGGCCGAGGCAGCAGAUUGCUUGAGCCCAGGAAUUCAAGUGUAGCCUAGGGAACAUGGCAAAACCCCAGCUCUACAAAAAAAUACACAAAUUAGCUGCGUGUGGUGGCCUAUGACAGGAGGCUGAGAUGGGAGGAUUGCUUGAGCCUGUGAGGUCGAGGCUGCAGUGAGCCGAGAUCAUGCCAUUACUCCAGCCUGGGUGACAUAGGGAGACCCUGUCUUGAAAAAAAAAAAAAAAAGAUAAUUAUUCAGCCCUAGAGUCAUUGUGAAAAGAUCUAUCUUCAGAUAUAAGGAAGAAACAAUCUUUUAUUUCUUAGGAUAAAUCUGUAGAAGGACCUCCAGACAGUGAAGGCCACUGACUACUUUAUACUCUGUAAGCCAUCCCUCCCUGGUAGGAAGGACUAUUUCCAAUCUUACAGAGUACCUCUCAGCAAAUAGACGUUUUCACAUAUACUGUGAUUCAUACAUCCCUAUGGCUGGUGACCUCUUUAAAAAGGAAAGGAAAAAGCCUAAUCAAACAAAAAGAUGCUGCUAGUAAUUCUUACCCUAUUGUGAAUCCUAUAUAAGCAAAUUUGUAUCUUUGUUUUUUCCUACAUUAGCAGAUCUAUUUGAUGUAUAUCUCUGAGUGCAGAAAAUAUUUUAUGGAAAAAUCAAUAUAUGGAAUUUCAAAUUCAGAAUUGCUGAUACACACUAUUUGGUUUCACAAUUUUAUCCUAGGAAAUAGUAUUAGAGAUUUCAAUUUCUGGCUUAAAUGGUAGAAUUAAUUACUCUUAACUCUUAAUUUUACUUCUGAGUUGAGGUCAAGGAACAGGCAGACACCUGCAGUUAACGUCUAUACCUCUCCAUGGCCAAGAGUUUUAAUUUUCUCGUCUUCAAUUUUGUAGAUGUUCAUCAUUACUAAAUGGAUUGAUUAGUAUUUUAUCUCCUCUCCUUGUCCUUACUUUCCCUCUGGUAAAUAUGUUAUAAACAGUGUAAGGCUCCUAAGAUAGAGUAGCUGGUAGGACUUAGAAGAGAAACAAAGGGCACUGAUAACUCACAUAAAUGGAAAAUUGGCUCUGGAAUAACUGACAACAUAUUCAAGUAUUUUAGUGCAGUGUCACUCUCAUUAAGAAGAAGAGAAUCAGUAAAUCUAUGUGACUCUAAACAUUCUAAUGAAAAAAGGAAUAUUCUGCCAAUUAUCUCACAUUUCUAAAUAUCUGGAUAUUGGCCAUUGUAAAGACAAAACAUACAGAUGAUGGACUUGUCUUUCCACCUCUCAUUUGCAUGGUUUGGAGCAUUGUACCUCCAGCCAUAGACUCUAAGGCAAUUUAUAUUUGCUUCCUCUUCCCUCUUGAGAGAAAACGAAAAUCUUAUUUUUCCAAGCAAUUAAAACUCUUCUGCUUCAGCUAGGAUGAAAGAAUUAGGAGUUCUGUCUCCUUGUAUCUAAUUGCAUGUUUCAUCUUUCUUGUUUUAAUGAUUGACAGAAAACUAAUAAACUGAGACAUCUUUGAAUCCAGGUUGAAUGUACUCUCUUGGUGGCCCCAUUGCUAAUUUGUUUGACUAUUUUGCAGGAUUUCUUACUCUGUAAUGGAAAGGUUUAUUAAAUAUGAGGGGUGCAAAGCUUUCUGAAUACUAAUGAACUUAUUUGCCAAAAUUUAAAUGUUCUUCUUGUCAGUGAAUGUCUGUCUCUCUUAACAGGAUCCAAAUUGAAUAAUGAAGAAAAUUAGACUCUAUUGUACCCUCAGGAGAAAUCGUGGUGAAUCGUAAUAGAAUACAGAGGGGGAAAGGGGU